rnacentral:rRNA from 1 species
UACGGGGGGAGCAAGCGUUGUUCGGAUUUACUGGGCGUAAAGGGCGCGUAGGCGGCCAGCGCAAGUCAGUUGUGAAGUCUCCGGGCUUAACUCGGAACGGUCAACUGAUACUGCGCGGCUAGAGUGCAGAAGGGGCAACUGGAAUUCUCGGUGUAGCGGUGAAAUGCGUAGAUAUCGAGAGGAACACCUGCGGCGAAGGCGGGUUGCUGGGCUGACACUGACGCUGAUGCGCGAAAGCCAGGGGAGCGAACGGG